ACUUGCUUCAUCCUCUCCUUAGAAGUCGUGUCCCGCAGCCCCCUCACCAUUUUCACUGUCCUCCAUUGGACUUUCUCCAAUUUGUUCAUGUCCUUUCUGUAGUGGG